AAAGUCUGACUAUUACACUUCCAGAUGAAGACUCCCCACGGAGGAUAGAAGUCUAUGGAUUUUUAACUUGUCUGCAAUUGCCCUUCCUGCCUGCCUGCUUGUCAUUUGUAGGUUUGGGGUUUUUUUAGUUUAGUUUUUUUUUUUUUUUUUUUUAUGCAACUGAUAGUUUGUUUACAGAUUCUAAGUCAAAGCAAUGCAGAAUUCUGUUGGAUUUACUUUCAAUAGAUCUAAAACUGAUCUCAUCUCAUUAUUAAUAUCUUUUUCUAGGUAUGACUUAGACCUGCUAUUCUAUUCCAGUGAUUAUUUCAGGAGUGUGAAUGUGAAUCUGCCCAAGCCAUAGGGUCAAGAUCCAAUUUAGUUUCUUCCAGAUGGGUCACCACCUGGGAUAUAGCCAACCAGUAUCUCCAAGUGUAUCUCCUUGGUGAUGGUUCAAUAAUAAUUCAUGUACUGGCUUCCCCAGAUAAUGGUAUUUUCCCUCUUCAGCCUAUAUCCCUAUUUCAUGGAUUUUUUGGAAACCUAAUCACUGCUAACAAUUACCCCUCCCCACCUUAUUUAUAAAGCAUACAUCAUUUCUGUUUUGGAAACUUCAGUUUUAAAAUGCUGCUACACAGAGUGUCUACUAUCUAGAACAUCAGACUAGAAUAUGCUUUUGGGAAAACUGGUCUCGUCUACUCCAGGAAGAUAUUCUUAUCCUGUCACUAUAUGCAAGCAAACAAAUGCAAGCAAAUGUUUAUGGGAAAUACACUAAAAGUCUAUCUGCAUGACACCAAGAAAUCUAUUUUAACUGACUUUUCAUCCUGGAUUAAAUAUUAAUCUUAAUCUUAAAAUCGUAUGGAUAGAAGCACCAGAGUGACCCAACCUCAAAUCACACAGGCAUAUGUGCAGGUGCAUACAAACAUAUAUAUACAUGUACAUAAAUUACUUAACAGAAGGGAUUGGACUAUAUUAGCUUUUUCAUUAGGGAAAGGAACUGAUAUCAUUGAGCAUCUACUAUGUCUCAGCCUUACUGAUAGGUACGCAAACCACAUUAUCUUCAUCACAGUCUCACUACAGCUGUGAUUUCCCUGAUGAUAAAUCCAAGGAUCAGGGAUCAGGGAUCAAUGCAGCUUCUCUAAAUUGUGUAGAUAUUAAUAAGAGAAAAUGUAUCUUUCUUUUUUGUUUCCCUUUUUUUAAGCCAGCAUGCUGAUGGCAACUUGUGACCUGAUGGCCUAAAUAACUAAAAAAUAUAAAUAUUCUGCUGAGUGGUAAUAUUAGACAUUGAAAAAAUUACAGUUAAUUUUACAUGUCAUACAUGGAACACAAUAUGCUCUUCUCACCAUUGGAAAUUUAAUUUAAGGGCUCAGCUUUUCCAUUUCCACUUUUAAGGAGUUAUUUGCUAAUAACCUGUUAGUUUUAGACCACGUGGGAAAUUCGAGGGAGCAUAGUUCAUAGUGUUUCAACUCCAAAGCAAAUGCCAUUAUGAAAUUAAAUGUUCACAUGCAAGAUCCAAUAGAUAGUUGGGUUUACACAGAGGAGAUAUGGCUUUCUAAAGUAUUAUUUAUCACACUACUAAAUCACAAAGUAUUUCCUUAAAUCAUCAAAAUUUAAUACUCCAUCAAAUGAAAAAUUAAAAACUUGAAAAAGUUGCUGAUGGAGGACAGUAAUAUUAAGGGUCUCCUUUAAUAAAAUCCUUUGGGUUAUUUUAUUACUUCCAAUUCAAUUAAUUUCAGAGUGUCUUUGGCUAGAUCUUGCACCUGAGGUAAUUAGGUAAAGGUCACAGAUCACAAAUAAAACAAGCAAAUAUAAAUUACCUCUUAAGACUUCUUCCAUCAUUAUUGUGAGUGUAUUUCUAGAGCUUCACUCCAACACAAAUAUGCUGAAGAGAAAUGAGAAAAGUCCAAACCAUAUUCAUUCUUAAAGAAGCUAAGUACACAGAACAAUACACUUUGAAAAUAUUCCAAAACAAAUGGCUGGUUUGAGCAAAACAACUGGUGAAGUAAAAGGAAAACUCUAACCAUAAGGCUUAGUGUAACUGAAUCUUAAACUCCUGUCAUUUUCAGAAGAAUGUGUUGGAAUACUAUGGGCAGUAUGUCUUAGUAAAGCUGGGUCCAUACAAUUUUGGUCUGCUCUUAAAGAUUAAAAGAGUUAUCUCAUUCUACACUAUGUUCAAUCUGCAAACUUGAUAGAAGAGAGACAAUAUUAACUUUUUGGAAGAAAAGAAGAUUUUAAAUUGUCCCCUUAUGAUCCUGUGAAUUACAUAUGUACUAUAUUCAACAUUAUUUUUGCCUCUCAACUACAACUCAGAAAAGUGUUGGAAUAUUCAUAUAUAGAGUAAGGAAACUAGAUGUGAAAAAGAGCAUCCAGAAACAACUGGUCAAUCCCAGGUUCAAAGGAAACUUUUUUCAAAUGCUUGGAAUCACUCUUGGAAAAAGCAGAGGAUGAAAACCUCAAGCAAUUUGUUUUCUGUUUAUCUAUCAAAACCAAGACUUGGCUGAGGGAAUGUAUUUAGAAGAAUAUUCAUGAAGAAGUCUUAAAGAGCUCUGUAAUAACAAAUACAUUGUUCUCUCCUCCCCUCCUCCUUUCUCUCACUCCUCCUCCUUAUCAAACUCUUAUCUCUCCUAUAAAACAUGACUUUCCUUAGAGCAGGCAAUUUCAUCUGACUUCAUUCAAGACUAAACCUGGACAUGAACUCUCUUAAGGAAAAGUGUAAAUAUUCCUUCAAAUAUAUUUAUAUGUAAGAAAAUAUUUUGUUCUGAAACAUUUUCAUAUUUUCAUAAAAUCAUGUCUCAAGUAUGGAAAAAUGUAUACUUCUGACAUUUCUAUUUAACUGAAGUCCCUGUUUUCAUGGUGGGGCUCAGGUGUAGAGUUGAGCCACUCGAUGUGGCCUUUUCCUCACAGAAACAAGCAGAGGUUUUGCAUCUCAGAGCUUCAGUGAGACCCCAAUAGAAGAACACAUCAUAUGUGAAAAACUACUACAGAAAUGUGUUUAAGGGAACAAAAGACUCUUCCCAUUUCUAAAGAUCUCACAGUCCAAUGAGGACAAACAAAACCAAUGUGGCACCAUCUCAAGAUACAACUGUUGGCAAUAUUUAGAACAUGAAUUAGAGACGUCAAAAAUGUUUUAAAGAAGCAAUUGUUAAAAUAAUUUAUGUGUUGUGAUUCUAUUUUGUGAACUAUAAUUAGAAAUAGCAAUUGUUCAUUUCACUGAUUACACAGGGGGAAAAGGUCAGAUAAGGCCCUGUAAUAUUUUUUUUAUAUGUUUGGUCUGUAAGUAUAAUUUCAAAUUACUCAGCAGAAAAGCUCAUUUACAAAGUUGCACACUAGGGAAUAGUCUUGUUGCUGAGAUGGUUAGCACCAACAGGCUAUGCUGACAUAAACCAAAUUUUGGUGGUUCGAAUUUUGAAAUUCAAAUAAUCUCUUUUGAAAAGAGUAGCCGUGAAUGCUUGUAUACAAUAUUGUUAGGCCUGUUUACCAUCUUCUACACCAAAUGCAUUCAUGGGAAGUCCAAUCUGGGGUGAUUGAUUUAUGUUCUAGAAACAUGGUCUAGAAGAAUAGAGGGAUUCAGUGAAAUGGUGCGGCUGGGACAGCGCAUUGUCAGAACUGUCAAAUCUGGAUUCAGCAAGAUUAAAAAAAAAAAAAGACAAUUUUGUGGCCAAUAAAGAGCAAAUUCACAUGAUCACCUGUAUGUCCUCAUGGAAGAACAUCUGCAUCAAGUCCAUACCACAGGCUCUCAACUAGAAUAAUGGAAAUGAAAGCACUUUGAAAAUUAUAAAAGAAGGAUAGGAUAAGCAGUGGAGUUAGCUAGAGCUCCUGCAAACUUAUUUGAGCCCCAAAGCAACACUCUUUAGUGAUUAUUUUGUUCCUCUCAGAAUAAUGGACUUAACUUGUAUGCAUAUGACUGUUCUCUGAAUUGCAGCAAAGGGAAUAUAAACUUUCUCAAGAAUGUUAUGGACUGAUGCUGAUAGACAGAGACUUUCCAAAAAAGAAAAACAGAUACAACAUGGUAUCAGAAUAAGAAUCUACCUAACUAGAGGUCUGAAUUUAGAAGUCAGUAAGAACAUUCUCUAUAUUCCUAGAAUGGCAUUAAAUUCUCUAGGAAAGAAGCCAAGUGUUAACACCUUAGCCAGGAAUAAUAAACCAGUCCCACUUUGGUACAUAUAAGAUGACCUGGAAGCUUAUUUUAAAAUACACUUUAUUUGGCCCUGCCCCAAGAGAUUCUCACUUAUUAUGGGAUUUUGAUGCCUUAGUCCUUGACCACACCUUGAAAACUACUGAGUCCUGAUCCCUCACUAGGACCUUUAAAGUCAUUAUUUACUUCACAAAUCGUAAUAAGCAACUAUAUGGAAAACUUCUUGUGGGUAAGCCUAUCUAAUCUUUGUACUCCACAAAUUAUUUAAACUUGGAUAAUGCCCCUAGGUAUCUGUUAAACUAAUGACCAAUCCCAAACUAAGGAAUAUAUCUUAAAUCUUCUGGUGAUGCCCAAUUUACCUAUAGAUCUGUCCUCACAAUAAGAUGACUAGUUCUAUUUGGGGUUUGGGUUUCUUUGUUUUUAAACACUUUUUCAGCUCAGUGAAAGGCACUGCAUUAAGUGUACUGGAUCAUAGAAUUAUCCCUUAUAUAUACAUAAUGCCUGAAAUUUCAAAAACAAGUCCACAGCCUAAUUUAAUAAUGAAAAAUAAAGGAGACCAACAUAUUCUUUCUGCCCUCUGGAGAUUAUAAUUUAGUGACAACAUACUAACAGAGAAACAUAUAAGAAAUAUAGAAUACAUAAUUGGAAGCCAAGUUGUAUGAUUUCAGACUACAAAUAACUGAGUGCUACAGAGAAAAGGAGGCAUUAAUGGGACCUGGAGUAAUCAAGGAGGACUUUGGAGGAAAAUUAGGACUUCUUUCAAGGAAACAUUAGAUUCAGAUAUUUAAAGGAAAAACAAUACAUGUGGGAGAAAUAAGCUGAGUGGGGAUAGGGAGACACAAUAGAUCUUAGAGAAAUCUUCUGGACAUUAAGGAUAGCUACCCAAAACAUGUCCAUUUUAUGAGGGAUUAAUGAAGAAAGACAGCUAGUCCUUUAAUAUUUGCCACUACAAUAAAGCCCCAAGUAAGGGAAAAGUGAAUGAAGUCAAUUUAUAUCUGAUGAGAAAAUAUUCCACCCAUAUACUAUGAAUAUAAAGAGAAAAACAGCUUCUAGGUUAGCAUGUUUGUUUUCUAAUCUUUGUGAAUUUCAUUUAUUAUCUAUAGAAAAUAUACUACACUAUUUGUCUUAUAGGUGUUAUAAUUCUAAAAGUGUUCUUAUAGUCUUGAUUUUCCAAGUGAAAAAAUAUAUGUGUAUACACAUAUAUACAAAAUAUAUAUAUAUGUCUUUGUUUCUAUAUUAUAUUGUCACAAUAUAUUUAAAAGUAUUUAUACCUGUAUAUAUUAUUCAGGGGUCCUUCACAACUCUGGACUUAUCCAAUUAUGCUAAAUAUAGAAAUCAGAGCUAGCUCAGGGACCUAGGCCCUUCAUGAACUUAAACUUUAAGAUGAAAUCUAAAACUGAAGAGCAUGUAGUGUUUAGCUUCAGAUUACUUCUGACAACUUCAUAGACUUGCAUGUUGCUUAUGAUGUGCUCCUGAAUGCAUUGGCUUCCUUCUUAUCAGUUUUACAAAGUAGUGUGCUGACUCGCUUCAUCCCUUGGGAAUUCACUGUUGUGUCCUUGUGGGACAAAGACUCUUCUAUAAGAAAGUGCAGUAUUAUGUGUGCUGCUGUGGAAAACUAUGUGUCUGUUCCAAUAUGUGUACUGUGAGCAAUAA
rnacentral:lncRNA from 1 species